GACGGAGACCAGCCAGAUUCAGAAGACUGUGAGCUGCCUAAAGCCGCAACCAAACAGCUUUCCAAACAAUGAUCUGGACCUGAAACAUCCAGAGCCUGAAAGGGAUCUUGAUGAAGAAAUGCCUCAGCAAGGCUCAGAAGCCAUGCAUUCUUCUUCAGUGCAAGAUUUUGAAGAGACUGAGACCAGCCAGAUUCAGAAGACUGUGAGCUGCCUAAAGCCGCAACCAAACAGCUUUCCAAACAAUGAUCUGGACCUGAAACAUCCAGAGCCUGAAAGGGAUCUUGAUGAAGAAAUGCCUCAGCAAGGCUCAGAAGCCAUGCAUUCUUCUUCAGUGCAAGAUUUUGAAGAGACUGAGACCAGCCAGAUUCAGAAGACUGUGAGCUGCCUAAAGCCGCAACCAA
ensembl:lncRNA